AACUCUUUUAAGAGCCGACCCUCACAAGAGCUACUAGUGAGUCGCUGCAAACCUGCCAUGAUCAGCCCUUUCCAGAGAAGGAAGACCAGUCCUUAUAUCAAAACAAGCUCAUCGAAGUCCUUUGUUUAGGGUGAGGAAGGAACAUGACCAUCUCAUGCCCAAAGAAGACAGAAGUCCAUUGAUAGCAAGUGAAGUCACUAACAGAAGAUCCUA